GUAGUCUCGCACAGAUGCAUAUCAAUAAGCGGAGGAAAAGAAACUAACAAGGAUUCCCCUAGUAACGGCGAGUGAAGCGGGAAGAGCUCAAAUUUGAAAUCUUAAAGGGUUUCCCUUUACGAAUUGUAGUUUAAAGAAGUGUUUUCUGUUGAGGUUUUGGUAAAAGUUCUUUGGAAUAGGACAUCAUAGAGGGUGAGAAUCCCGUAUUUGACCUUUACUUUCAACUUUGUGAUACACUUUCAAAGAGUCGGAUUGUUUGGGAAUGCAGUCCAAAAUGGGUGGUAAAUUUCAUCUAAAGCUAAAUAUUGGCGAGAGACCGAUAGCGAACAAGUACCGUGAGGGAAAGAUGGAAAGAACUUUGAAAAGAGAGUUAAACAGUACGUGAAAUUGUCAAAAGGGAAGCGUUUGACACCAGUGUUGUUUUUCUGAAAAUCACUAAAGAACUGUUUAUGCUAAGCUGUUUAGACUUUAUCAGCUAUCUGUUUAGUUUUGAGCUUUUCUUUAAUGCACUUUUCAGUUAACAAGUCAACAUCAAUUUCUUUUGCUGUAAAAAGCUUGAGGAAGGUGGCUUGAGAUUCGUCUUAAGUGUUUAUAGCCUCUUGCCUAUGCAGUCGGAGAGAUUGAGGUCUGCAGCGUAGAUCCUUCGGGACUAAAUGCAUUUGUGCUAAGUUAUAGCAUUUUAUAGACAACUUGUUGACUAUGAUUUGUCUUGUAGCUUACUCGCUUAUGUUAUUUUACCUACGCUUAGGAUGUUGAUCUGUAGUGCGUGCGC
rnacentral:rRNA from 1 species